rnacentral:lncRNA from 1 species
GAAAUUACUAGAGGUCGACCGAUUAAUCGGAAUGGCCGAUUAAUUAGGGCCGAUUUCAAAUUUUCAUAACAAUCGGUAAUCGGUAUUUUUGGCCACCGAUUUGCCUAUUUGUAAUUUUUUUUUAAACCUUUAUUUAAAAUUGGCAAGUCAGUUAAGAACACAUUCUUAUUUUCAAUGACGGCCUAGGAAUGGUGGGUUAACUGCCUUGUUCAGGGGAAGAAUGACAGAUUUUUACCUUGUCAGCUUGGGGAUGCAACCUUACGUUAACUAGCCCAACGCUCUAACCACCUGCUUUACGUUGCCAAGGUAAGUUGCUAGCUAGCAUUAAACUUAUCUUAUAAAAAAAACAAUCAAUCAAUCAUAAACACUAGUUAAAUACACAUGGUUGAUGAUAUUACUAGUUUAUCUAGCCUGUCCUGCUUUGCAUAUAAUCGAUGUGGUGCGCAUUCGCAAAAAAGGACUGUCUUUGCUCCGACGUGUACCUAACCAUAAACAUCAAUGUCUUUCUUAAAAUCAAUACACAAGUAUAUAUUUUUAAACCUGCAAUAUUAACCAGGUGAAAUUGUGUCAGUUCUCUUGCGUUCGUUGCACGCAGAAUCAGGGUAUACAGAAUCUGGCUCGUUGCGAACUAAUUUGCCAGAAUUUUACGGAACUAUGAAAUAACAUUGUAGGUUGUGCGAUGUAACAGGAAUAUUUAGACCACCCGUUAGAUAAAAUACGGAACGGUUCCGUAUGUCACUGAAAGAAUAAUGUUUUCGAGAUGAUAGUUUCCGGAUUUGACCAUAUUAAUGACCUAAGGUUUAUUAUAUUAUAGUUAAGUCUAUGAUUUGAUAUUUGAUAGAGCAGUCUGACUGAGCGGUGGUAGGCAGCAGCAGGCUCGUAAUAGUCAAAGAUAUAUGGUUUAGAGAGAAAUAGUCGACGCGUCAUAAUUUCUGUAAUAACUUGCGGCUGAACUUGAAAGGGGUUCCUUCGUUAUUUUACCGUUCAUGUCUUCCAUAGAGAAUGUCUUGAUCUACUUCAAAUAAGGUCUGUGUUUUGUGCUUAAACCGCCUCGGCGUUUUGAUA